GUGCUUGCUUCGGCAGCACAUUUACUAAAAUUUGAAUGAUACAGAGAUUAGCAUGGCCCCUGCGCAAGGAUGACACGCAAAUUCGUGAAGCAUUCCAUCUUAUU
rnacentral:snRNA from 1 species